rnacentral:lncRNA from 1 species
CCAAGGCUACGUGCUGAAAACCGUACUUUGACCUAUAAUGGUUUUCUUUUUUAAAUUGUGACUUGGAUGUAGAGUUUUCUCAUUGACACUCAUACAUGUACCACAUCUUCUCAAAUUUAUAUUCAAAACUGUCACACUAAAAGACCCUUACAACAAUUUCCUAGGGGUCCAUUGAAGGUCUAUUGCUAGGCAAAAUGUCGGCCCCAAUCAAACAAACCCCC